rnacentral:rRNA from 1 species
GAUGAACGCUGGCGGCGUGCCUAACACAUGCAAGUCGAACGAGUCUGAUUCUUCGGAAAAAGGCUAGUGGCGCACGGGUGAGUAAUACGUAGGUGACCUGCCCCGAAGUGGGGGAUAACUUCUCGAAAGAGAGGCUAAUACCGCAUAAGCUCAGCCAUUCAGUUGGUUGCGUAAAGUCGUAAGACGCUUCGGGAGGGGCCUGUGUCCGAUUAGCUUGUUGGUGGGGUAAUGGCCUACCAAGGCGAUGAUCGGUAGCUGGUCUGAGAGGACGAUCAGCCACACUGGCACUGACACACGGGCCAGACUCCUACGGGAGGCAG